GCCCGUCUAGCUCAGUCCCAUUUUCAGCACGAGACUCUUAAUCUCGGGGUCACGUGGGUUCGAGCCCCACGUUGGGCG